GGCUGCGAGAAGUUGCUCUGCUCCACGCGAGCUUAAAAAACUGAUUUAAGUUAUUACAAUGCAAUUAAAGUUAGCGAAUGCAUUAAUAUACAAAAGAAUAAAUAAAUAAACGUAGACAUGUAAAGAGAGAUCCGUCUAUUCGUGUCUGUCUGCAUUUGCGGUAAGCAGACAGAUGUGGUCGUGGAAUUUGCAGGCACACUUUAUUAGCGGUUGGUGUUCUUAAGGGCCGGUUUUGGCAUAUUCUUCCAAGGCACUUCUGUUGCCACACAGAAAACCAGCCCUCUCAUCCACCCACGGACACGGCCAUGCUGGGCGUCCUACUCCCCUGCCUUCUUCUGGGUCUCCAAGCGUCCGGCGUGUCAGCGACAAAGGAGCCCAGCGCAGCCCGCUCCCUCGUGUGGGGCCCGGGGCUCCAGGCAGACGUCGUCCUGCCUGCGCGGUAUUUCUUCAUACAGGCUGUGGACGGGGCUGGAACAAGUUUUACAUCGUCCCCUGGCGAGAACACCUAUGAGGUAAAGAUCACCACUCCGGCGGAGGAGUUCACCCGCAUCUGGGUCCAGGUGCUGGACCGCAGGGAUGGCUCCUUCCUGGUCCGCUACAGGAUGUACGCCAGCUACCCAUCCCUGACCAUCGAGAUCCUACUCAAGGGCGUGCAUGUGGCCCAGUCACCAUACCACCUCAAAGGACCUGUGUAUCACGAUGGCUGUAGCUGCCCCCAGCCUCAGACCAAGGUUUGGCUGAAGCAUAUGCGCUGCCCAGACUCUGUGCCUCAGAUAGAGCAGGACCUGUCGUAUUUCCCCAGUGUGGACCCGGACCACCUUGCCCAGGAGGUGCCUCGCCGUUUCGGCCGGAGGCAAAGCUUAUGCCAUUAUACCAUCAAAGACAAUCAGAUUUAUAUUAAAACUCAUGGAGAACAUGUGGGAUUCAGAAUCUUCAUGGAUGCUUUUCUGCUCUCUCUGUCCAGGAAGGUGAAGUUGCCUGAUGUGGAGUUUUUUGUGAACCUUGGGGACUGGCCGCUGGAGAAGAGGAAGCCCUCAGAGAAACUGCAUCCCAUCUUUUCCUGGUGUGGUUCCAGUGACACGCGGGACAUCGUCAUGCCAACUUAUGACCUCACAGAAUCUGUCUUAGAGACAAUGGGGAGAGUGAGUUUGGACAUGAUGUCAGUGCAAGUCAACACGGGUCCCCCAUGGGAGGAGAAGAACAGCACAGCCUUCUGGAGAGGGCGAGACAGCCGCAAGGAGCGCCUGGAGCUGGUAAAGCUGAGCAGGGCUCACCCGGACCUGAUUGAUGCUGCGCUCACCAACUUUUUCUUCUUCGAGCACGAUGAGAGCCUGUAUGGGCCAGUGGUCAAACACGUCUCCUUCUUCGACUUCUUCAAGUACAAGUACCAGAUCAAUGUGGAUGGCACGGUAGCAGCCUACCGGCUGCCGUAUUUGUUGGCGGGAGGCGGCUUGGUGCUCAAGCAGGACUCUGAGUAUUAUGAGCACUUCUACAGCCAGCUUCAUCCCUGGGAACACUACAUCCCCAUCAAGAGGGACCUCAGUGACCUGUUGGACACGAUCCGCUGGGCCAAGGAGAACGACCAUGAGGCGAGAAGGAUUGCGGAGGCUGGUAAGCAGUUUGCCCGGACACACCUCAUGGGGGACAACAUAUUCUGUUACUACUUCAAACUAUUCGAGCUUUCCAGAACUAGUUUUACAAUGUGAAUUCAAGUAUGGAACAUUCUCUGCAAAGUUCUCAUGUUGGUGAGGGUGUCCUCCCACAGUCCAAGGACAUGUUUCAGGAGAGUGAUUAAAUUGAGGCAAUACUGAUGGGAUACCAGUCCAUCACGGGGCAAUCUCACAUACAAAAGGUAAAAGUUACAAUUUUACUUGAAGUUCUCACCUUUCUUUGUGCUCGCUCGCUCGCUCUUUCUCUCUCUCUCUCUCUCAUAGGAAUAUGCUGCUCGCCAGGUCACUGAACCCAAGGUGCGGGAAGGCAUGGAGAAAGUGGAGCAGCCAAAAGACGAUC